rnacentral:rRNA from 1 species
UACGGAGGGGGCUAGCGUUGUUCGGAAUUACUGGGCGUAAAGCGCACGUAGGCGGUCGGGCAAGUCGGGUGUGAAAGCCCUGGGCUCAACCUGGGAAUUGCCUUUGAUACUGCAAAUCUCGAGUCCGGAAGAGGUGAGUGGAAUUCCUAGUGUAGAGGUGAAAUUCGUAGAUAUUAGGAAGAACACCAGUGGCGAAGGCGGCUCACUGGUCCGGUACUGACGCUGAGGUGCGAAAGCGUGGGGAGCAAACAGG